CACUGUUCGCCUGCUGGUCUGUGGCCAGUUUUAGUGCUCAUCAGAUUAGGAUCUGUCUUGAGAACUAACUGACCAGAGAUCAUC
rnacentral:pre_miRNA from 1 species